rnacentral:rRNA from 1 species
UAGGGAAUCUUCCACAAUGGACGCAAGUCUGAUGGAGCAACGCCGCGUGAGUGAAGAAGGGUUUCGGCUCGUUAAAGCUCUGUUGUUAAAGAAGAACGUGGGUAAGAGUAACUGUUUACCCAGUGACGGUAUUUAACCAGAAAGCCACGGCUAACUACGUGUCAG